rnacentral:rRNA from 1 species
GACGAACGCUGGCGGCGUGCUUAACACAUGCAAGUCGAACGGAAAGGCCCUGCUUUUGUGGGGUGCUCGAGUGGCGAACGGGUGAGUAACACGUGAGUAACCUGCCCUUGACUUUGGGAUAACUUCAGGAAACUGGGGCUAAUACCGGAUAGGAGCUCCUGCUGCAUGGUGGGGGUUGGAAAGUUUCGGCGGUUGGGGAUGGACUCGCGGCUUAUCAGCUUGUUGGUGGGGUAGUGGCUUACCAAGGCUUUGACGGGUAGCCGGCCUGAGAGGGUGACCGGCCACAUUGGGACUGAGAUACGGCCCAGACUCCUACGGGAGGCAGCAGUGGGGAAUAUUGCACAAUGGGCGGAAGCCUGAUGCAGCAACGCCGCGUGCGGGAUGACGGCCUUCGGGUUGUAACCCGCUUUCGCCUGUGACGAAGCGUGAGUGACGGUAAUGGGGAAAGAAGCACCGGCUAACUACGU